rnacentral:misc_RNA from 1 species
GAAAUGCGAUAAUUAAUGUGAAUUGCAGAAGUCAGUGAAUCAUCGAGUCUUUGAACGCACAUUGCGACCCCUGGUAUUCCGGGGGGCAUGCCUGUCCGAGCGUCAUUGCUGCCCUCAAGCACGGCUUGUGUGUUGGGCUUCCGUCCCUGGCAACGGGGACGGGACCAAAAGGCAGUGGCGGCACCAUGUCUGGUCCUCGAGCGUAUGGGGCUUUGUCACCCGCUCCCGUAGGUCCAGCUGGCAGCUAGCCUCGCAACCAAUCUUUUUAACCAGGUUGACCUCGGAUCAGGUAGGGAUACCCGCUGAACUUAAGC